AACGAACGCUGGCGGCAGGCUUAACACAUGCAAGUCGAACGCGUGUAGCAAUACACGAGUGGCGCACGGGUGAGUAACGCGUGGAUAUCUGCCUUUUGGUUCGGAAUAACCCCGGGAAACUGGGGCUAAUACCGGAUGGUUCCUUCGGGAUAAAGAUUUAUCGCCAAAAGAUGAGUCCGCGUACGAUUAGCUAGUUGGUGAGGUAAUGGCUCACCAAGGCGACGAUCGUUAGCUGGCUGAGAGGACGAUCAGCCACACUGGGACUGAGACACGGCCCAGACUCCUACGGGAGGCAGCAGUGGGAAUAUUGGACAAUGGGGGCAACCCUGAUCCAGCCAUGCCGCGUGAGUGAUGAAGGCCUUCGGGUUG
rnacentral:rRNA from 1 species